GCUGUUAGAAUAACUCAGUCAGUAGAGCAUGAGGCAUGAGACUCUUAAUCUCAGGGUUGUGGGUUCGAGCCCCAUGUUGGGCA